rnacentral:lncRNA from 1 species
ACAACCCGUCUCUGCAAAGCAAGUAAACAGACAAACAAGUUGGAGAGGAGGGGUCCUUUGGUGAAGCUUGAAAGAAAACCCCAGAAACCAGCUCCCAAUUUUAAAGGAAGUUGGGCGGAAAUGAAAUGAAAUUCGAAACGUCAAAUUUCAGACAGUUACAAUGUGGGUAAUUUGAAAUUCCCCUCCCCAGUUGUGAAAUGAAAUGGGUAUUGAGUUUGGUUGAAAAGGGAAACCAGAGAUGAAAAUGUUGAAGUUAUGUUGAAGUCGUCAAAGUUUUACCAGAAUGAAUGAAUGGGGAAAUGAAG